rnacentral:rRNA from 1 species
GACGUAGGGUGCGAGCGUUGUCCGGAUUUAUUGGGCGUAAAGAGCUCGUAGGCGGCUCGUCGCGUCGACCGUGAAACCCGCGGCUUAACUGCGGGCUUGCGGUUGAUACGGGCGGGCUAGAGUUCGGUAGGGGAGACUGGAAUUCCUGGUGUAGCGGUGAAAUGCGCAGAUAUCAGGAGGAACACCGGUGGCGAAGGCGGGUCUCUGGGCCGAUAUUGACGCUGAGGAGCGAAAGCGUGGGGAGCGAACAGG